rnacentral:rRNA from 1 species
UACGUAGGGGGCAAGCGUUGUCCGGAUUUAUUGGGCGUAAAAGGCUUGUAGGUGGCCACGCCAAGUCGGAUGUGAAAUCUCCCGGCUCAACUGGGAGGGGUCAUUCGAUACUGGCGGGCUCGAGGCCGGUAGGGGGAAGUGGAAUUCCCGGUGUAGUGGUGGAAUGCGUAGAUAUCGGGAGGAACACCAGUGGCGAAGGCGGCUUCCUGGACCGGUUCUGACACUGAGGAGCGAAAGCGUGGGGAGCGGAUC